rnacentral:piRNA from 1 species
UGGUCAUGAGUGUCAGGCACCAUUGCUUC